UACGGAGGGUGCAAGCGUUAUCCGGAUUCACUGGGUUUAAAGGGUGCGUAGGCGGGUUGGUAAGUCCGUGGUGAAAUCUUCGGGCUCAACUCGAAGUCUGCACGAGAAACUAUCUGGCUUGAGUGUGGGAGAGGUGAGUGGAAUUCCUGGUGUAGCGGUGAAAUGCGUAGAUAUCAGGAGGAACACCUGUGGCGAAAGCGGCUCACUGGACCACAACUGACGCUGAGGCGCGAAAGCUAGGGGAGCAAACAGG
rnacentral:rRNA from 1 species